rnacentral:rRNA from 1 species
GUGCCUAACACAUGCAAGUCGAUCGGUAACAGGGGUAGCAAUACAUGCUGACGAGAGGCGGACGGGUGAGGAAACGCUUGGGAAUCUGCCUAUCAGCGGGGGACAACCCGGGGAAACCCGGGCUAAUACCGCAUACGCUCUACGGAGGAAAGCCGGGGACCGCAAGGCCUGGCACUGAUAGAUGAGCCCAAGUCGGAUUAGCUAGUUGGCGGGGUAACGGCCCACCAAGGCGACGAUCCGUAGCUGGUCCGAGAGGACGAUCAGCCACACCGGAACUGAGACACGGUCCGGACUCCUACGGGAGGCAGCAGUGGGGAAUAUUGGACAAUGGGGGAAACCCUGAUCCAGCGACGCCGCGUGGGUGAAGAAGGCCUGCGGGUUGUAAAGCCCUUUCGGUAGGGACGAAAGCUCUUGCUCUAACAAAGCAGGAGGUUGACUUAACCUACGUAAGAAGCACCGGCUAACUCUGUGCCAGCAGCCGCGGUAAUACAGAGGGUGCGAGCGUUAAUCGGAAUUACUGGGCGUAAAGCGCACGUAGUCGGCUUGUCAAGUCGGGUGUGAAAUCCCCGGGCUCAACCUGGGAACUGCAUCCGAGACUGACUUGCUAGAGUAUGGGAGAGGGAAGCGGAAUUUCUGGUGUAGCAGUGAAAUGCGUAGAUAUCAGAAGGAACAUCAGUGGCGAAGGCGGCUUCCUGGACCAAUACUGACGAUCAGGUGCGAAAGCGUGGGGAGCAAACAGGAUUAGAUACCCUGGUAGUCCACGCCCUAAACGAUGACAACUGGAUGUCGGGAGGGUUUGCCUUCCGGUGUCGUAGCUAACGCGUUAAGUUGUCCGCCUGGGAAGUACGGCCGCAAGGUUGAAACUUAAAUGAAUUGACGG